ensembl:lncRNA
AAAAAUCAUAAGAAAAGUUUAAAAAGAGUAAAAUUCUGAUGACUUUUUCCUAAGUCAGAUCCCCAGCAUUGUUUGACACAAAAUGAAGCAAAAGCCACAUCUGUUGUAUCUACACUACCUCUCAUCUGCAUAUCUCUACAAAUCUCUGAAAGAAACUAGAAUUCAAGUAUCUUCCAAAUAGUAAAGGAUUUUUUUCAGGCAGGUACUUUUUCCCCAUUGAAGUAUUCCUUUGGCAAUAUUUUAAGAUAGUUCUUAAGAAUAUUUUUCAUAAAAUAUUUUCUAUAAUUUUUUUUGUUCUUGCUUUAAAAGAGUAAUUUUUUUUCAAGUUUCUGUGGGUUUUUUUCCCUGUUUGACAGUGAAUGACAGUGAUAGGAGGAAACCAAUUCCAGGAACUAAUAGGCCAAUUUUCUGACUUUGUUUUGAGCAUAUCCUAUGCAUAUUUCUGCUUCAAAUGGAAGAGAAUAGUCUUGAGCCUGCAGUGGGAUUUGCUAGGCAUACACACUGCCUGUUGCUUUCAGAGAGUUGUGUGUAUGUUCAUGUACUGCCUCCAGGUUCAGACUCUGCCGUAUGUAGAGACAGGCUUUCAUCAUGUGAUUGACUUUUCAAGUCAAAAUGUUGCUUUCUAUUCACAUACUUAAUUUCUGACUGCAUUACAUGCAUAAUGCAAUAAGCUUUGUAGAUGCAUUUGGAAUUUCAACUGAUAGGUAUGAAUCAUGUUGGAUUUUUUUCCCACUUCUAAGAAAAGGAGCAACAUCAAAAUUCAGUAUUUCCCUUCAAAGUCUGUUCUUUAAAAGUGGUAUUACCAUAAAUAAAAACAGUCUUAUAGUAUUCUUCUGUACAAACUUUUACUUCACAAAUUGCUGCCAACUCCUUUUUUAUUUCACAGAAGCAUAGUGUGAAUACAGGGAGCUCACAGCCUGUUUGUGGAUGAUAGACAUCAAAUAUAAAACCUUAUGGAGAAUAUAUUAACUCUCGGGAUUGGUUUACUCCAUCAGCUAUUACGAAAACCACAGAGGCUGAAUCGUAGAACUGCACAUUCAUUUAUCUAAAGUUACAGUACAAGCCAUAAUACUCUCUGAUGUCACUAUUCAGAGAGUGAAAGAAAAUGUCUGGUUUCUGCUCAGGUGUCACUAGGAAAGAUAUAUUAUGUGUGGGGAAGGAGCACUUUUUGCUUUUACUAUGUCCUUCUGGCUAUUAAUGUGAUGUAUAAAAUUAGUGAAAGAGAAGGAUUCUAUCAUUUUGUACUAAGGCUUAACACUGUGAUAUAAAAAGAUGGUGAGAAAGACUGGUGAGGCACUGUCAAGGGAAAAGUAUAAUUCAAGCCCAAGGUGAGCACUUUCUCCUCUUCUGAGAUACUUGAGUGAAAGUGAGAAAUUAUGCCAACAUACAUGAGAUACUGGGUUUGCUAUAUGUGCUACCCUCCAGGUGAACUAGAAUAAAUUUAAUUUUACUUUAGAAUUGAUCGAAAAUGAAUAUUCUGGGUCUUUUAAUCAUGUUAAUUGUUGUUAGUUUCAAUAAGCAAAGUAUCAAAGUUAAUAAUAUAGGUAAACCUUGUAAUAUAAUUAUAGUUGCACAUUUUGUUGUUCUAUUAGACAUAAUAGCCAGCAAUUAAGGUGUUUUUCAUCUUUGUGAAAUUCAUGGGCAAAUUAUGACUAUAACAUGGCACAGUUUUAAUGAAAUCUUUGAGAUCAAUCUGUAAAUAUAUACUGUACAUGACUGCUAGUAACUAUGAUACACAUUUUCAGAACUGAAAAUUCAUGCAACAUUUUUCUGUGUUUGCAUAAGGAAUGUUAUGUUUCUAUCCUAUCGCAGUUUAAUGACUGGGAAGAAAGACUCAAGCAAUGACAUUGUCACCGUUUCUUUUCUCAUUCCCAGGGGAGGAAACCAGAGUCUUAGAUAACAGCAUGUCACAGAGUUCUUCAGAGAGUUUUUACAUUCAGAUAAAAAGGACGUAAAAUCUGUAAGGUACAAAAGCACAAUGCAUGGAGAAAAGGACUGGUGAUCUUACACCUGGGGGAAAUUUGUUUCAGAAAAAUAUGCAUUAAAAUUAAACCUCAGUUAAUUUUCACUAUAAUUAUUAGACUGUGUUCCAAUUCUAUACUAUAACACAGUACUAAACAUAAGUGAACGGAUCUUAAACAUUAUCAAACUAUAUGUGCAUAUGGACAUGUACCUAGAUGUCUAUAUGGACAUAUGCGUGUGUAUAUACACGUACUGAGUAUAUAUCUACGCACACAUUCAUAUGCUGAUGUGUUAAAGGAAUAAGCCAAUAGUAGUUUUGUUUCUACCAUCAAGCAGUGUAUGAAUAUAUUUUUGAGAAAAAAAAAGAUUAAUGUAUUUAAAAGAAACCAACUUACUAUACAGGGUAACUGGGCAUUUCUAUAUCAGCCAAUCAAUGCUUAUAAUUCGUAUGGAGCAUUGCACCAUUUGACAUGAUGAUAGUACUGUACCUCCUAGCAUCUGAAAUUAGACUACUCCUCACAUUGCUUGCCUAUUUCUUCUCUCUCUUUUUGUAACAGCAUUGUCCACUAGUAAGUUUUCAAAACCAACAAAUUCCUUAGGGAACCAAGAAAAAAAGGCAAAAAUAUUAACUAUUUCUAGAAAAUAAUCUAGGGUGGGAUGGCCAGGGUACAAUACAUCAGUAGUGAUCAUAACAUUUUGCUAUGUGUACAUAGAACAUACAAUGUGAGCAACCAUAACUUAAGCUGAACGUGUGUAAAUAUUAUCAGAUUUCUUAAACAUUUUUAACUUCUAAUUUGUACUUUAUGGUAAGGCAAAAAGCUAAUUCUACUUAUGGUUUAGGUUCAUGUGUCCUAAAAUUAUGUAAAUAAUUCAAUAAGCUGUAAAUGAGCAGUCAAUAGAUACAGUAAUUGUUUAGUGACAUUUUUUUACUAAGUACAAUAAUAGCAGUGCUCUAGCAGAGUAAUUUAAACACCCUUUUGCAUAAACAGAUUUGGAUUCCAGAUAUAAAAAAAGUACAGAAAGUACUGUAGUGUAAAAUAACCACUGCAGCCACUGCUAGCACAGUUGAAUUUCUUGUAUGGUUAAAAUGCUUGGGCAAUAGAAGGUUGUAACUUGGCACUCAGUACUCAGAUUAGCAUAUACAAACAGGGCCGGGUUUUCACUUACAAUGAGGCACCUUCAUGUUGCUCCAGUGAGUGGAGAGGUGAAGGAAUCCAAUGUAAGUGAGAAUUCAGCUGUUGGUGAUUUCAUUACAGAAAGCCUGCAUAUUGCGUCUGUCUGUUUCUGAAAUCUGUAUCUCUUACGGUAUCUAAUAGGAGACUUAUAUUUUUCUUUACAAAAAAAGAAAAAAAAGGAUGUUUGUCAUUAGAUAGCAUAGUCCCCCAAAGCCAAAGAAUCUUCACUCCAGAAAUUGUUUAAAAAGGAAAUCUAAUAAGUCACUGCUUAACACCAAAGGUAAAGCUUAAUAAAAUGCACUAGGAACUUUGUCGAAAUUUUUAGGAAGCAAAUGGAAUGUCGAUCAAAAAGACUGCCCUAUUCUACUUUGUAAAAAUAGUAAUAAAUACAAAUUAAUAUAAAAAUUGAAAUAGAUCAUCUCGACAAGAAUAUGCAACACUAACAUUUCAUAAGUAUAAAAUUUUCUUUGUAAGUGCUUUGAGAAAAAAUGAAACUUAACUGAUGAAAAAUCUCACCUCUACUUUCAUACUAAGGGUUGUAUUUUUUUAAUGUUUUUCAGACAUGAGGUCAUCUAUUCCAAUUUGAUAACAUUUUGUAUGUUUUCACUGUCAGUGUCAUUUGACAGAUACUCACCAGGCUGUAUUGUUCAUAGUCUGUCCUGUUACUUUCAGUUGAAGACAAAAAGAGCAUUUGAAACAUGAUUAAUUCUAACGAACCAAGUAUGAUUUGACUUCUAUCACGUUUUUAUUUGCAUGGGUGUUUAAAUGGUUCUGUUAGUACUGUCUUUGCACAGUUCUGAUUUAUCUUUUUUUACUUAGUACUAUUUACUUCAUAAUGUAGUAAUCAUCAGCCUUACUAAUGACCUUGUAGCCUUUCUUAUAUGCACAUAAUGCACAUUUUCCAAUGGCUAGAAAAUGCAAAAUACUAGUGGAUAUCAUUGCAUCAGAUCUUCAUGUCUUUCUCAAAAGGACUGCUAACCUCUGGGAUAUAUGAGGUAGUAAAAUGAUGAUUGUAAAUGAGUAGCACAUAAGAGAUAUUUUCUUGAAUUUAAAAUUAUUGCAGCCAGUUUCAGCAUGUAAAUAUAUAAUAAUGUUGGCUAGUGUGUAAUUCUUGAACUAAAAAAAUAUAAAUAAAGAAAACCGAAAAGA